ACAGUAAGAUCAUAGCUUCAGGACCUAAGUAGCUCCUGGGGAUGGGAAAGAGAUGACUGACUGAGGUGGUUGAUGGGAUUCUUACAGGACCCCACUGGAAAUCGGACUGUUCAACUCACCUGGCAUCCACUCCCAGAGCCCCUGGAACUCUGGCCCAAGGCUCUCUGACUGACUUCUUCCCAGAUCUUCUCGGCUUAGCAGCUGAAGACUGACGCUGCCCGAUUGCCUCAGAAGCCCCGUAGACCAUCAUGGACGCCGAGCUUUAGGUAACUCUCACAGUGGAGGCAACAAAGCACCAUCUUGGAAGCAGAGAGCCACCCUCACCAGAACUGAAUGCAGGCACCGUGACCUUGAACUUCCCAGCCUCCAGAACUAUGUGAGUGCACAUGGAAAUUUAUGGAGUCUCUCAGCAUUGUAGAAGAGCCUCUGUUUCUUCUCACUGGUUCCUGUCCUCCUCAGCUUGGUAUAUAACUCCUGAGGGCUGAAUACCUGGUUGCUGAAGGAUCCAGUCCCUGCCCUAUAACCGAGGAAGAAUUUCUACUUCCCCUUCCUGUCCAGAAGUGAUAUUCCCAGAGGAACAGUGAAAACAUGAGAUUCAAGAUUCUGUGAGCUGGACAGCAGAUGGAGGCACACUGACAGCAGAUGGAGGACAUAAAGCUGACAGUUAAGAGACAUGUGAAUGGGUUGAUGGGGAAUGAUCUCUUUGUGAAGUCUGUUGUUGGCAACACAUUGCGGCAGAAGAAACAGCUCAGUGAUGGUCCCCACAGCUGCCAUUCUCCAGUCUUGAAGUUGGUGUAUGACCUCACUGUGACCGACCCCCUAUGGGCUGACAAUGUGGAAAACAGUAAUGGUCAAGAAAUCCUCCCUGUCCUUUUGUGUUCCAGGCAGAGAGCCACCCUUCCCCAUGUGACUUGGGGAAGACUCAUGGAUGAGCUCCUUGAGAACCUAUGACGAAGCCAGACACAACCCCUCCUAGGGUCUGAAAGUUUGUGUCCUUCCAAAUUCAUAUGUUGAAAUCCUAACCCCCGAGGUGAUGGUAUCAGGAAGUGGGGCCUUGGGAGGUGGUUAGGUCAUAAGAUUGGAGCUCUUAUGUAUGGAAUCAGUGAUUUAAAAAGGCCCCAGAGAGCUGCCUUGCUCCUUAAGACAUGUGAGGAUACAGCAAGAAGGUGCUGUCCAUGAGAAAGCUGGCCCUCACCAGAAACCAAUCCUACAGAUGCCUUGAUCUUGGACUUCACAGCCUCCAGCACUGUGAGCAAUGAGUUUUUGUUGUUUAUAAGCCACCUAGUCUAUGGUAUUUUGUUAUGGCAGCUUGAACAGACUAAGCCAACCCUCCAAAUUUUCAUUCUUUGGUCCUCACUGACUAAUCUGAACAAACUGCUCAUCAACUUAACUUGUUCAAACUUAAUGAGGCUUCUCUCCCUCCCCAGGCCUUUGAACUUUGGCUGGCCCCUGAGCUUAAGCAAGCACUAAAACACAGAACAUCUCUCCUCAGUGAUCCUUCCCUGUUCAAAUUGUCUGUUCACACCACCUGCUCAUCCCACUCCCGCACAGCCACUCCUCUCUAGUAUUCUCUACUCCUUCACAUAAAAAGAGAAGCCCUUAGCCGGGUGCAGUGGCUCAUGCCUGUACUCUCAACACUUUGGGAGGCCCAGGUGGGUGGAUCACCUGAGGUCAGGAGUUCAAGACCAACCUGGCUAACAUGGCGAAACCCCGUUUCUACUAAAAAUACAAAAAAAUUUAGCCAGGCGUGGUUGUGUGUGCCUGUAAACCCAGCUAGCUGGGAGACUGAGGCAGGAGAAUCACUUGAAUGUGGGAGUCAGAGGUUGCAGUGAGCCAAGAUUGCGCCACUGCACUCCAGCCUGGGCGAC
ensembl:lncRNA novel transcript